GAUGAACGCUGGCGGCGUGCCUAAUACAUGCAAGUCGAGCGAACAGACGAGGAGCUUGCUCUCUUGACGUUAGCGGCGGACGGGUGAGUAACACGUGGAUAACCUACUUAUAAGACUGGGAUAACUUCGGGAAACCGGAGCUAAUACCGGAUAAUAUAUUGAACCGCAUGGUUCAAUAGUGAAAGACGGCUUUGCUGUCACUAUUAGAUGGAUCCGCGCCGCAUUAGCUAGUUGGUAAGGUAACGGCUUACCAAGGCAACGAUGCGUAGCCGACCUGAGAGGGUGAUCGGCCACACUGGAACUGAGACACGGUCCAGACUCCUACGGGAGGCAGCAGUAGGGAAUCUUCCGCAAUGGGCGAAAGCCUGACGGAGCAACGCCGCGUGAGUGAUGAAGGUCUUCGGAUCGUAAAACUCUGUUAUUAGGGAAGAACAAAUGUGUAAGUAACUAUGCACGUCUUGACGGUACCUAAUCAGAAAGCCACGGCUAACUACGUG
rnacentral:rRNA from 1 species